rnacentral:rRNA from 1 species
AUUGAACGCUGGCGGCAUGCCUUACACAUGCAAGUCGAACGGUAACGCGGGGCAACCUGGCGACGAGUGGCGAACGGGUGAGUAAUGCAUCGGAACGUGCCCAGUAGUGGGGGAUAGCCCGGCGAAAGCCGGAUUAAUACCGCAUACGACCUAAGGGUGAAAGCGGGGGAUCGCAAGACCUCGCGCUAUUGGAGCGGCCGAUGUCGGAUUAGCUAGUUGGUGGGGUAAAGGCCUACCAAGGCAACGAUCCGUAGCUGGUCUGAGAGGACGACCAGCCACACUGGGACUGAGACACGGCCCAGACUCCUACGGGAGGCAGCAGUGGGGAAUUUUGGACAAUGGGCGCAAGCCUGAUCCAGCCAUGCCGCGUGCGGGAAGAAGGCCUUCGGGUUGUAAACCGCUUUUGUCAGGGAAGAAACGGUCUGAGUUAAUACCUCGGGCUAAUGACGGUACCUGAAGAAUAAGCACCGGCUAACUACGUGCCAGCCGCCGCCGUAA